UACGUAGGCAGCAAGCGUUGUUCGGAGUUACUGGGCGUAAAGGGUGUGUAGGCGGUCCUCUAAGUCUGGUGUGAAAUCUCCCGGCUCAACUGGGAGGGUGCGCCGGAAACUGGAGGGCUAGAGUACUGGAUGGGAGAGUGGAAUUCCUGGUGUAGCGGUGAAAUGCGCAGAUAUCAGGAGGAACACCGGUGGCGAAGGCGGCGUUCUGGACUGCAACUGACACUGAGGAACGAAAGCCAGGGGAGCAAACGGG
rnacentral:rRNA from 1 species